rnacentral:tRNA from 4 species
UAGAAUGUGGUGUAAGUGGUAGCACGGAGAUUUUUGAAUUCUUAGGUUUAGGUUCGAAUCCUAUAAUUCUAG